GAUGAACGCUGGCGGCGUGCCUAAUACAUGCAAGUCGAGCGAACGGACGAGAAGCUUGCUUCUCUGAUGUUAGCGGCGGACGGGUGAGUAACACGUGGAUAACCUACCUAUAAGACUGGGAUAACUUCGGGAAACCGUAGCUAAUACCGGAUAAUAUUUUGAACCGCAUGGUUCAAAAGUGAAAGACGGUCUUGCUGUCACUUAUAGAUGGAUCCGCGCUGCAUUAGCUAGUUGGUAAGGUAACGGCUUACCAAGGCAACGAUGCAUAGCCGACCUGAGAGGGUGAUCGGCCACACUGGAACUGAGACACGGUCCAGACUCCUACGGGAGGCAGCAGUAGGGAAUCUUCCGCAAUGGGCGAAAGCCUGACGGAGCAACGCCGCGUGAGUGAUGAAGGUCUUCGGAUCGUAAAACUCUGUUAUUAGGGAAGAACAUAUGUGUAAGUAGCUGUGCACAUCUUGACGGUACCUAAUCAGAAAGCCACGGCUAACUACGUG
rnacentral:rRNA from 1 species